rnacentral:rRNA from 1 species
GAUCAUGGCUCAGGACGAACGCUGGCGGCGCGCCUAACACAUGCAAGUCGAACGGAGACAAUUAGGAGCUUGCUUUUGAUUGUCUUAGUGGCGGACGGGUGAGUAACACGUGAGCAACCUGCCUUUCAGAGGGGGAUAACGUUUGGAAACGAACGCUAAUACCGCAUGACAUAUCGGUACCGCAUGGCACUGAUAUCAAAGGAGCAAUCCGCUGAAAGAUGGGCUCGCGUCCGA